UUUAUGUUUAUUUAUACAUAGUAAAUUUAACAGAAAAGGAUAAUAAUUAUUGGCAAUAGUGAAAUAGUACUGAAAGGGAAUUAUGAAAUAAUUUAGUGUGUAAAUAUUAUUGGUAGUAAUUUUUAAAAUAUGUACCUUGUGUAUUAGGGAGGGUUAAAAUUGAUAAUAUAUACAUUUAAAUCUCGGUAAAAAAGUGUCUAAUUAUAAUUUGUCAUUUUAUGUAGAAAAAUAAUAUUGAAAAUGUAAUUAGUGAUGAAACGUCGAUCGAAUUUUUAUAUCUAGUUGUUCUUGAAAUAAAUUUAAUUUAGGUUAUUUUUUUUAUAAAAAGUAAAUAAAGUGUAGGAGGGAAGAGCUUCUUAUACAAUUAUGUGUAAAUUGUGGAACAAGUUAUAAGUUAAUAAUUAUAAAUAGGCUUAGAGGUAGCUAGUUUUAUAGGGUGUUUUAACUGAUAAUUAGAUAAGCUUAAUAUGUGUUCUCUGUUUAAAGUAAAGAACUAUAAUAUAAAAUUAACAAAGUGUUAGUAAUAUUGAUUCUAUUAGUAAUAUUUAUUAUUAAGUAAAAUAUGGAUAAUAAAAAAUAUAUUAUUUUUUAAGUAUGGUAUGUUUUUAUUGAGGAACUCGGCAAAUAAAUAUUUCUGCCUGUUUAUCAAAAACAUGUCUUGUUGAAGGUUUAACAAGUCUGGCCUGCCCACUGAGUGUUGAAGGGCCGCGGUAUUUUGACCGUGCGAAGGUAGCAUAAUCACUAGUUUUUUAAUUGAAGGCUUGUAUGAAUGGUCGGACAAGAAAUAAGCUAUCUUUAUAAAAAUUAUUGAAUUUAACAUUUAAGUAAAAAGGCUUAAAUAAUUUAGAGGGACGAUAAGACCCUAUAAAGCUUUAUAUUUUUUCAUAUUUUUUAAGAAAGGUUUGUGAAAAUUAAUUUAUCUGUGGAAAUAUUGCGUUGGGGCGACGAAAGUAAAAUUAAAAGUACCUGCUUUAUUUUUAUAACAAAAAUUUUUGGAGUUAAAAUGAUCCUAAGUAAAGAUUAAAAGUUUAAGUUACUUUAGGGAUAACAGCGUAAUUUUUUUUGAGAGCCCAUAUCGAGAAAAAAGUUUGCGACCUCGAUGUUGAAUUAAAUUGUCUACUUAUGUGCAGCAGCUAAGUAAGAAAGGUCUGUUCGACCUUUAAAAAUUUACAUGAUUUGAGUUCAAACCGGCGUGAGCCAGGUUGGUUUCUAUCUUCUAAUAAAUUUGAAACUUUUUUAGUACGAAAGGAUUAAAAAGUUUAAAUAAUUUAAAUAUAAUAAAUAUUAUUUUAAAUAAGUGAAAUUGCU
rnacentral:rRNA from 1 species